rnacentral:lncRNA from 1 species
GUGGGUGCUGAUGGGUUUAUCGAUCGAUAGGUCGUGCUGUGCACAUGCGUGCCACGAAUUACAAGCAAAUUAGGAUUAGUCGUACUACUACAAGUUAGUACUCCAGUUUUUAUGAUGACCAUGGGUGUGGAUUGAUCCUUGCGAAGAUUCCAUUUGCAUGUGCGCAUCUUGAUCGAAUGGAGGGUAAUUAAUAUUCUUUUUUUUAUUUCCAGUGCCGUGUGCUCGAGUGUGACUAAAUUUAAUUUUCUAUCUUUAGAUUAUUCACCAAGGGCCAUUCUGUACUCAAUGAUGGAUUUUAAAAUUUGUUAGAAACUGUGUGAGAUAUGCAUGCUGGUUGGACAAUAGUAGAACUUGUAAUUAAGUUAGGUGUUUGAGUCGAGCCCAUAUAAUUU